rnacentral:lncRNA from 1 species
CAAAAAGCAUCCGACUGAACCAGUCGAGUUUUUCGGUCACCCUAGCUCGCAACCCGAUCUCUGACUCCAUCAUCUCCGAUCUCCUUCGACCUGUCCAGAUCCGAUUCCUCGCCAAGUUCUGCCAGAUUGAGCCCUUCCCCAAAUCAGCUUCACAGCAGUGAUUGGGUUAAGCUAAGACUCGAUAUAAAGAGUAUAUCUCCGCCGUGUACUGCUUCGGACACCCGUGAUUUAUCGUCGCGGAUCUGAGGCAACACUAAUUUACAGGUGAACUCGCUUCAUUUGUAAAGAUCCGACUUAGUUCGUAUCAUUUGGUGCUUUCUUAAAGUUGAACUCUAACAAAUGGCUAAUAGUAGAAAAUUAUUGAAUGAAAUAGUACGUUCCACCAUUUCUACAUCUCCAAAACGCAUCCGACUGAACCAGUCGAGUAUUUCGAUCACCCUAGCUCGUAACCCGAUCUCUGACUCCAUCAUCUCCGAUCUCCUCCGACCUGUCCAGAUUCGAUUCCUCGCCAAGUUCUGCCAGAUUGAGCCCUUCCCCAAAUCAGCUUCACAGCAGUGAUUGGGUUAAGCUAAGACUCGAUAUAAGGAGUCUAUCUCCGCCGUGUACUGCUUCGGACACCCGUGAUUUAUCAUCGCGGAUCUGAGGCAACACCAAUUUACAGGUAAACUGGCUUCAUUUGUAAAUAUCCGACUUAGUUCGUAUCAAUAUACACCCUAUUUAAAAUUUUCAUUUUCUCAAGUUUAGAUUUAAGAGCUUAUAUAUUGAUGGUGUGUGUACAAACAGUUGCACACACAUUCAACUCUCUCCCUCUCUCUAGUAUCGGUCUUUUCUUAUGUUAUCAGCCCCCUCCCCUGUUGGACCAAGGAAGGUAUUUAUAGGUUACACACAACCCUCCUGGACCUCCCUUGGCCCUGGCCUUUCGUGCGGUCGGGCACAUGGUCCGCGGCCCUUCGUGCUAUCGGGCCCGACCGCGGUUGGUUCGGUCCACGGUUCGUUGGACGGGAACACACAUUGUAUGGCGGAAGUCCCCCAUCGAUACUAUUUUACCAAUGACGGAUGUCAUAUUAUACAUGGCGGAUGUCCGCCAUCUUUUAAUUUUCAGUUUCCGUGAAAAUUUUUAAAUUCGAUGGCGGAUUUCUGCCAUUUAUAUUCUUUUUUUGUGGAAAAUGAAGAUGAAUAAUAGAUAACGAUCUUUAGAUGACGGGUAUGGGGUUAUAAUGACGGUUAUUGAAAUGACAGUCUUAAGAUGACGGAUUUUCAUCAUCGAUCAUUUAUGACGGCGGAAAUCCGUCAUGUAAAAACCGUCAUACAAGGUUUUAUUUCUUGUAAUGAUAGCACAUUUGAACCGAGCGUAAUAAACGGUGUAUGGAGGAAAAGACGAAACCAUCGGAGGUAGUUGCGUGCGAAUUCAUAAAGGACCUCGCAAUCGUCUUCAACAAUAGUAACUUUAAGAGGAAAAACAGGAAUCUAUCAGAGGAAUUGGCGGUGACAAGUUGGAGGGCAACCACGCUCGCGAUUCAUUUCGUUAACAAGGAGUAAUUACUAUAGGAACUCGUUGUGGUAAAUUAGCCACAUUGUUCAUUAAACUUCAGGGGUUUGUUCCAUUUACAUAUUUAAUAUAUUUGCCUUCAACCUGAAAAAAAAGCACAAACAUGCAGAGACACCAACAAAUCCACAAUUCAAUCAUCUCAUUCUUGUAACCCAAGAAACUGGGGAAAGCUUGGGUAUUUUGGUUGCCAUCCAAUUUCGGCACGAGUCUUUGAGUUAUUUAACCUCUUUCCCAAAGGACCACUAGUCCCUGCAUAAUUAAUUGAAUGAGGAAACCAAUCAAUCAAAUCUCACCAUCGAAUGAAUUCAUGAAAAACAUAUAUGUGCUUGAUGUAUAGUUUACCAGUAAACGACUGGAACUUCAUGCUGAAUUUCCCACUUUGAUCAACAUAGUCCAUUAUUUCCUGCCUGAACAAUCAUAAAAUACCCUACUUCAAUCACCAUUCAUCGAUAAUAACCAACUCUAUACUGCAGAUAUAUUUACUGUUAUGAGAACCUGGAGAGAGGAAGAUUAUCACAA